UACGUAGGGACCAAGCGUUGUUCGGAUUUACUGGGCGUAAAGUGUGCGCAGGCGGCCGCUCAAGUCGAGUGUGAAAUCCCCGAGCUUAACUUGGGAAUUGCGCUCGAAACUAAGUGGCUGGAGUGUGGCAGAGGAAGGUGGAAUUCCACGUGUAGCGGUGAAAUGCGUAGAGAUGUGGAGGAACACCGAUGGCGAAGGCAGCCUUCUGGGCCAACACUGACGCUCAUGCACGAAAGCGUGGGGAGCAAACAGG
rnacentral:rRNA from 1 species